UGUGAGCAGCCAUUGUGAUCAUGCUUUUUGCCUAGCGCCCUCUCGCGGCCAACUAAACUUUUUUUAACAGCGCGUGCCGCCUAGAAUUUGGCUCAACUAUGCGAUGGGCGUAGCGAGCGUGCAAGUUUUGCAUUCCAACGCGCUUUGUUUAAGCGGAAUAGUUGACAUUCCGGGCGUUUCGGUAUAGUUUUCUUGUAGGGCCUGCUGCGGAAUAUUGUUGAUUUCGAUCCAACAUUUUGUUGCGAGCAGACCAUCUAUUACGAGCGCUUACACUCUUCACUUGUAUUACAAUUUUGAGGGAGGCUCCCUAUACUAGCAGUAAAAUAUUUACAUCUACAUUGUAUUUUCACUGCUGAUCGUCGAUUUUCACAUCGGAGUAGGCAUGAACGUAGAUCUUCCCAAGUGAUUAAUAUCCUUGGAGCUACUUCAUUAGCCAUUUCCCUUUUGACUGUCGUUUUUAUAUACCCAACCAAGUUUCUAAUAUAAUUCUUGUGUAAAUAUCUAAUAAUUUGUAUAUAUUGUCUCUAUUUGUAUUAUAAAUAAAACCAUUUCAUAUUUGUGAGACUACAGAAAGUUCGCUCUUCCCAAAUCAUUUUUUAGUGGAACCACUCGGACAUAAGGAGAGUGCCCCAUUUUAACAAACUAAAUUCCACUCUCCCCGGUUACACUUGGCGUAGUCGGCAGGAUAGCUUUGCUAUCCACUUCUUUAUUUUAGAUUUGGGAGCGAAAUUGGAUAAAUUAAAUCAGGGCUAAACGGCAGUCAAAUAUAUAGGGAAUUCGCCUGGCACUGAUGAGACCGGGAGCUCUGUGGCGUCGUUCUGCUCAUGACGAUUGGGUACCAGACCAGGUAGACUAAGGAGGGGUGUACCGGCCCAGGUUCCUGCCGCCUUCCUUCCUUGGUGCCAUCUUGAAAGAAGAACUGCCAGCUGAGAACCACUGACUGACCUCCAGAGUGAGCUGCAGGAGUGUGUCAUCUGCUGCCAUUAGACGCCACUGAACUGUCUUCUUUUGGCAAAAUCCAAAAACAGAACUCCUUCCAUCUUGGUGGCCGUCCAUCGAUCUGACAGCGACGAUUGGUCUCUGGAGCGGGCUGUAGGAGCUUCAUUUUCAUAUUUUUGCUGGUGGUGGUUAUAUUUCUUGCUUGUUGUGAUUCAUUGCAUUAUUAUUGUUCUCUAAAAAUCUAGAAAAAAGACUAAGAACACAACGAAAUUUUACCUGUGAAACACAUAUUGUGCCUGCUUAUACACACUGUAGCGUAGAGAUGGACGGAUCCAAAGCUUUUUUAUUUUUAGUAUUUUAAUUGUUAUUUCAAUAUGCACUGCUCCUUUAUAGCUCAAUAUUCUUCCUCUCAUAGUAAUGGUUGUAUUUAUUUCAACAUUACCUUUUUGGCUUAUUGAGGAAGUGCUUGGAAUUCUUGAUAUUUUUAAUGGAGCUCUGUUACAAUGAUUCUUGUUGAACAUUUUUAACGCCCUUGAGGCAGUUGUCUUUUCUUUUAUAUUUUUCUGUGCAUGCAGAUUUGGGACAUACUUCCACUUGGGUGACUACGUUCAUGCCAUCCAUCCCUUCUUCCACCCCGUGAUUCACUUUUCAUUUUAGUUGCACGUGAUUCAACCGUGCUUGGGUAUUAUAUAGUGGAUAUUAUAGGUGCACUGCAGCUGCUAGACGCUAAAGCGUGCAUAUUAGGUUGUCGUGGCUUGACUGCGUACGCGCGUCUUCAGCUAAACCCUAACAUUUUUGUACAUGUUUUUACCUUUUUUAUCGUCCCAUUGCCAGUAUACUGAUUCUUUUUGUAGCAAUAUAUUUAAAUCAUAGCUGCAGAAAAAAAACUAUUUUGCAAAUGAUUUAAUUAGCGCUUUAGGCGAAUAAACCUUUUACAUCUUUAAUCUAUGAUAAAUCUUCAAUGCAGACGCCAUAUCUUUUAUUUCACAUUGUACAUGUAGAUUCCACUAUAUCUGUAUUGAUAGUAAAGCCAGUAUUUGGUAAAUUUUAUUCUCUCAUUAUCCUAAUUUCGUUUUAACCACUGUUGGGAUUAGCUAACCCAACUAGGAUAAAUAGACAUGUUUAGGUUGGGGUUGAAAGACACCCUGUAAAUAGAUGUUGAGGAUUUUGUUUUUUAAAAUACAUUAAGUGUAGCCAGAUACUAGGGUUUUUAUAGUAAGAUUAGUGUAGUAUGAUUAUAUAUUGAGAAUUAGGUUAUUGGGUCCAUUGGAGGAUAAUCUCUAUUUCUCUAGCGACAUGCUAGAGGUGGACCAUAUUUUUGCCAUUUUUCUCUAUCCCGUCAUUCAACACUAUCUUGCAAUUUUAAUUAAUACUGAUAUGGUGGAUGUUUUUUAGGGAUUUUUUAUUUGUAGAAACUCAUAGCCAAAUCUUCAUUUUUUUACGCGGACUUUCAUAUGUCUAAUUAUGGCCAAAUUGGGAGUUUUAGAUUUAAGGUCCAUAAUGAGGUAAUCUCUAAUUCACUAGUCAAAUACUAGUGGUGGACAAUCUUUUAUCGCGCUCUCGACCAUUUGAACAUAUUAUUAUUGUCCAAGUUUAUUUCGAGGAGCUGGUGUAGUAGUUUUUAUAAAUAGGAUAUUCCUUUUAACAUGUUUAAUCGUUAGUUACUUUGAAAUUCCCUUCUAUAAAAAUUCUUUUUUCUAUAAAAUUAGGGGGUGAGUGUAACCAGGUCGGGUUGCAGUACUUACUUUUCCCCGACUGGUUCCUUACUCCAGCAUUAUUUCAUA